rnacentral:rRNA from 1 species
UACGUAGGGUGCGAGCGUUGUCCGGAAUUAUUGGGCGUAAAGAGCUUGUAGGCGGUCUGUCGCGUCUGCUGUGAAAAUCCGGGGCUCAACCCCGGACUUGCAGUGGGUACGGGCAGACUAGAGUGUGGUAGGGGAGACUGGAAUUCCUGGUGUAGCGGUGAAAUGCGCAGAUAUCAGGAGGAACACCGAUGGCGAAGGCAGGUCU